CGCUCAAGCUACAUGCAGUAGAUCAGGCAAUACAUACACACGUGCAUAGACUCAUUUCUUCCAUGGCCUCCUCUUCAUCCUCUUCUUCAGACACCUCUCCAUGGCCCUACGAUGUGUUCUUGAGUUUUAGAGGAGAAGAUACCCGUGAUACUUUUACUGCCCACCUCUACCGUGCUUUGACUCAAAAGGCAAAUGAUCAUUUAUAUUUACAUGUUGCCGAGCAUUCUGUUGGAAUAAAACCUCAUGUAGAAGAUGUCAAUUUGCUUUUAAGCGUUGGAACGAAAGGCAUACGAAUGAUGGGAAUUUUUGGAGUUGGGAGAAUUGGUAAGACAACACUAGCCAAAGCAAUUUAUAAUUCGAUUGCUUUUCGAUUUGAAGCUAUUUGUUUUCUUCCAAUUGAUAGCUAGGGACACUUCGAAUCAAGUGAGUCGUUUGGUCCAACUGCAAGAGACACUUCUUUUUAACAUUUUAGGUGAGUGUAGAAGUUUGAAGAUUGACAAUAUUGAUACGGGAAUCAAUAAGAUAAAGCGUAGGCUUCACUCUAAAAGAGUUCUUCUAAUUCUUGAUGGUGUAGACCACUUUACCCAAUUAGAAAAAUUAGCAGGAGGUCAUGAUUGGUUUGGUGAAGGAAGUAGAAUCAUCAUCACAACAAGAGAUCAACAUUUGUUGACUGCUCGUGGAGUUGAUUCAACAUAUGAGAUAACGGGAUUGGAUCACGACGAUGCUUUUGAACUAUUUUGUUGGCAUGCUUUCAAAAAAAAUAAACCGGAUGACGGUUAUGGGGAAUUUGUAGAACAGAUCGUAAAUUACUCUGAGAGCCUUCCACUAGUUUUAGAGGUGCUUGGUUCGGAUUUAUGAUAGAUUAAGUGAAAAUGAAAAGAAUAUUUUUCUUGACAUCGCUUGUUUUUUCAUUGGAGAUGAUUUUGAUGAUGUCAUUCAGAUACUAGAUAGUUUUGAUUUUUGCCCAAACUUUUGGAUCCCACGACUUAUGGAGAAGUGCCUUAUUUCUAAGCCCUAUGAAAUGUUGCAAAUGCAUGAUUUGUUACUAGAUAUGGGUAGAGAAGUUGUUCGAAAAGACAUCCGUGAUGUACUGGAGGAAGAUACAGUAAGUCAGAUCAAAAUCUCUUUUAAUUAAACAUUGUUUCUAAUUUUCCUGAAGGUGCUGAUAUUAUCCGCUUGAGUCCCAAGGCCUUCAAGAAUAUGAAAAGACUUAGAUUAUUUAGAUGCCGCAAUGCACACUUUUCUGGCGAACCUAAUUGUCUACCUAAUUCAAUAAGAGUGCUUGAUUGGGCUAACUGCCCUUUACAAUCUAUGUCAUCUAAAUUUCGUGGAGACAAACUCUUUGUUCUAUGCAUGCCCGAUAGUCGCAUCCAGGAGAUACAAAAAUUUAAGUGAGAUGGUAAGCAUUCCUUCAAGCAUCAAAACAGCUGCUAGAUUGUGGUAUCUUGAAUUGAAAGAUUGCAAGCAACUUCAAGAAAUUAAAGAGUUUCCACCGAAUCUAGAAGUGAUGCUAUAAAGUGAAUAUGGGAAAUUGGAUGUCAAAUCCUGCAAGGAAUCAAGCUGAGAUGAUUUUUCCGGAAAAGAAGAUUCCAGAUUGGUUCAGCCAUUGGAAGGAGAUCACUUCAAAUAGUCAUCGGUGUGAAUUUGAUAUCAAAGUGGCCCCACCGUAUAAGUUGGAUGACAUCAUAGGAAUUGCUUUUUGUGCUGUUAUUGAACCCGUUGCAACUAUUGAUUUGGACGUUGACAUCAUGAGAGAAGAUACCUGCGCCAGAAGUUGUUAUUGGCGGGCACAUAUAAUUUCGAUGCAAAAUUUGAUGAAAUUGAUUCAGAUCAUGUAUGGUUAAGAUACUUAAAUACAUAAGAUAUUUUGGAAAAAUGCAUGAUCAUGUAGACAAUCUGAGGAUUAUAUUUGAAAGCAGAGAUCCAAAUUCAAUGAUCUUAAAACGUUGCGGAGUUCAUCUAUUAUACAAACAGCAUGAACAGAGUGCCAAAGAUCAUGCAAUUAAUAUUGAUGUCCAUUUGAAUGCACCCAUUGAAGAUAUUGGAAAUUUAGCAAAUCCAAUGGGUGGAAAUCAGCUUUCUAAGAGGCAUCGUGUUGAUUAUGAUGACUACGAGGAUGAUCACAACAUUGAAUCCAACUUGUACGCACAACAAAGGAAGCCUGCUUCAACCUCAAAUUGCCAAUAGUAGUAUUAUUUUGUGAUGGUUCAUCCAUGCAAAUUCCAGCAUAUUCGUGCGGUACCUUACAUCGA